rnacentral:tRNA from 2 species
GGGUCCAUAGCUCAGUUUGGAUAGAGCACCUGCCUUCUAAGCAGGGGGUCGAGGGUUCAAAUCCCUCUGGGCUCG